rnacentral:tRNA from 1 species
GCGCCUGUAGCUCAGUUGGAUAGAGCAACGGAUUUCUAAUCCGUAGGCCACUGGUUCGAAUCCAGUCAGGCGCACCA